UUAGCCAGGAUGAGGAAAAAGAUUUCAAGAGGAGCGAGAAAAGAUGGAAGCAAAUCUUGCUGCAGAGCGAGAGAGGAUGGAAGCAGAACGUGCAGCAGAG